rnacentral:lncRNA from 1 species
CCGGCUCCGCGAGUCCUUCUUUUUUGCACACACACGAAUACAAAGAGCCAUACGACCUUCGGAUCUGCACACCAGAAGAGGUCAUUGGAUCCCAUGGGACUGUAGUUACAGACAGUUGUGAGUGUCAUGUGGUUGCUGGGAAUUGAACUCAGGACCUCUGGAAGAGCAGCCAGUGCUCUUAACUGACUGGAUGUGAAAUUUAUUACUGAACAAGGUUGGUGUCACCUAAAUGGGUUCCUGCAGCAAGGAAUUUAAGGACAUCUUUCUCCUUCAUCUGCAGGACAUCUAGGGCUCCGGACAUUGGUGAAGACUGUGUGACACCAGUGUGCUGUGUGGUUAGGGAGCGCAGGACCCACCAAUAGAAGGCUGAGGAGAAGCAACCAUGGACUGUGUGCAACUUCACCCACUAGUUUACUCCUCCACAGAUCCCACAGCCUGGAGCCCCAGCCCUUCUGACCACCUUCCAUGAGAAAGGAACGUGAAUCUUGAAGCCAGUGCUUGCCUGUUGAAGGCCAGUUCUCUAGAAUACUUGUGAAGCUGUCCAGCGGUGUGCACCCGGUUAUCCGGAACACUUGUGAAGCUGUCCAGCAG